rnacentral:rRNA from 1 species
UGGGGAAUAUUGGACAAUGGAGGGAACUCUGAUCCAGCAAUUCUGUGUGUGUGAAGAAGGUUUUAGGACUGUAAAACACUUUUAGUAGCGAAGAAAAAAAUGACGGUACCUACAGAAGAAGCAACGGCUAAAUACGUGCCAGCAGCCGCGGUAAUACGUAUGUCGCGAGCGUUAUCCGGAAUUAUUGGGCUUAAAGGGCAUCUAGGCGGUUAAACAAGUUGAAGGUGAAAACCUGUGGCUCAACCAUAGGCUUGCCUACAAAACUGUAUAACUAGAGUACUGGAAAGGUGGGUGGAACUACACGAGUAGAGGUGAAAUUCGUAGAUAUGUGUAGGAAUGCCGAUGAUGAAGAUAACUCACUGGACAGCAACUGACGCUGAAGUGCGAAAGCUAGGGGAGCAAACAGG